GGGGAUUUGGCUCAGUGGUAGAGUGCUUGCCUAGGAAGCGCAAGGUUCUGGGUUCGGUCCCCAGCCCCG
rnacentral:tRNA from 1 species